AAAUUUGACAGAGACAGUACUAUCAUGGGUAUAACAGUUAGUUUGUAUGAGUGGCUGUACAGUGUGGAAUGUCACUAUGAUAGAAAUUGUACAUAUUGCACAAAUAAUAGCACAGUAAAUAAUGGAAUAAAAUACUGGACAAGAAGGUGUGUUUGCAAAAGAAACCUGCCACCAAUAACAAUUCAAAAAAGUGUUACUGCUUCUUUGAGAAGUGUACCUAAGUGGGGCAAUGGAGAACGAUGGUUUGAAUUAUACUGGAUUCACUAUGAUAACCAAAAUCGUACGCCUUUCGUUAGAAGAUGAACCAGAAAGAAAUAUGGAAACUGUGCAGUGAAAGAUUGACAGACUGAACUAGACAGAACAGAAUGUUUUAUGCGAGUGCUUUUAUGUGUGUCUAAAUAAACCGUAUAUUUUUAUCUUCUUAAUGUCUGUACUUCUUUAUUGUGAAAAAACGAAUAAUUUGAGUAUCUUUUUAGCUUGAAUAAAAACGGAAAACCUAUUAUAUGCUUGUGUUUGAAAAACAUACUUCACGAGACACGGCAUCAAGUCCUAGACGGUAAUUAGUGUACUGUAAAAUGAAAUUUCAAAAUAUGAUAAUUUUUCUUAAUAUAUAGAAAUACAUGUAAUCAAUUAUGCAAACGCAUGAUGACAUUAGUUUUAUUUGGCAUUAAAGUAUUUUUUGGAC
rnacentral:sRNA from 1 species